GGCCAGAUAGCUCAGUUGGUAGAGCGGAGGACUGAAAAUCCUUGUGUCCCUGGUUCGAUUCCUGGUCUGGCCA
rnacentral:tRNA from 1 species